UUUGAACCUCUUUUCUCAUGGGUGACAAAAGUUUUCCUCUUAAAAGCUCUAGCGUUUGAUCAACUUUCUUUUGUCCCAUGAGUUCUCCUUCUUGAUCUAUGCAAGCUUCUUGUAAGGACUUUUCUUUUGUGUUCAUGCUUGCAAGUGUUCCUUUACAAAAGGAAAGGCUAGGUUGUUCAACAAGAAGCAUGUUUGUAAAGGUAUUUUCAAUAUGCUUGACUUGUUGAAUGACCUUGUGGGAAGGAACACUAUUCUCCCACGCCUUUUGUUUCCCAAAAUUUUUUUCUUUUUCUAUUUUUUCUUCAUCCCUUUUGUGUUUCAUUUGUAUUUGGUCUUUUACCACUUGGGAAUGUGGUAAAG
rnacentral:lncRNA from 1 species